rnacentral:tRNA from 1 species
GCCUGGCUGGCUCAGUUGGUAGAGCAUCAGAUUCUUGAUCUUGGGGUUAUAAGUUCAAGCCCCAUGUUGGGUA